rnacentral:lncRNA from 1 species
CUCUUACCAGCGGGAAGUCAUCAGGAUCAAUCCAAAUGAUACUGAGGUCGGGAUUCUCAGUGUUGUCUUGGGCCACAGCCUUGAGAGUCUCUAAGAACUCAUAACCAUCUUGGAGGGAGCAGAAGAAAGAAAAGUGAGGUGGAACAGACAGGAAAGGGACACAGGAAACAGGAGUCCAAACCUAUUUCCCUACCUCCUACACCAAUACCUUCCAAGCCCUAGGCUGCUUGCAAACUCCCAGGAAUGCCUUCCAUGUGAGGCCAAGGAUCCAACAAAUACACCCCCUUCCCCCGGGCCACUCCAGUGUCCUCUCCUCACCAGGAUCCGCUUCCUCUGCAAAGGCCACGAUGUGGAUUCCAUCCAGGUCAUCCUCCUGUUGGAGGGGAUCCUGUCAGCUCCAGAGUUUGAGUCGGCCUUGUCAUAUUCAUUGUCAUGCCUGUCACUUGAGACCUGACAUGGUCUUCGGUACAGAAACAAAGCAAAUAGAAACCAACCCACGUGC